GAUGAACGCUGGCGGCGUGCCUAAUACAUGCAAGUCGAGCGAACAGACGAGGAGCUUGCUCCUCUGACGUUAGCGGCGGACGGGUGAGUAACACGUGGAUAACCUACCUAUAAGACUGGGAUAACUUCGGGAAACCGUUGCUAAUACCGGAUAAUAUAUUGAACCGCAUGGUUCAAUAGUGAAAUACGGUUUUGCUGUCACUUAUAGAUUGAUCCGCGCCGCAUUAGCUAGUUGGUAAGGUAACGGCUUACCAAGGCAACGAUGCGUAGCCGACCUGAGAGGGUGAUCGGCCACACUGGAACUGAGACACGGUCCAGACUCCUACGGGAGGCAGCAGUAGGGAAUCUUCCGCAAUGGGCGAAAGCCUGACGGAGCAACGCCGCGUGAGUGAUGAAGGUCUUCGGAUCGUAAAGCUCUGUUAUUAGGAAAGAAAAAAUGUGUAAGUAACUAUGCACGUCUUGACGGUACCUAAUCAGAAAGCCACGGCUAACUACGUG
rnacentral:rRNA from 1 species